GAGAGAAAGAGCGCUUGUAGCUUUCAUUGUAUGGGUGUUCUGGGCCAGACAACUUGAGAUGGCGUUUCUCAAGGCUAUCAGGCAAUAAACAGCUUCCAAUGCCCCAGAUAAAACUGGACAUGUGGUUUGAAUACGUCCAAUUUGGAUGAGAUGCCUUUGGGAUACUGCAAACAAUUACCAUGCAGCUAGUCUUGCUUCUCUAUUAAUCCAGGCAGAUGUUUUCACAUUAUGAUAUCUACAAAAAGACAAGCAAAUGCAAGCUCCUACAGAAUAUCAUAAGGAAACGUGAUUUGCUCCAUUGAAGAUAUCCUUCCCCUGAAAACAUUUCAACUAGCAUCAGAUUUCUUUGUUGCUUAUUUUCUUCACGUUUGAUUCAGAGCAACAUGUAAUAUUGCUUUAUAUUAAUUAUUUUUCACUACGGUGCAUAAAAGCCAAAAUGUAGCAUGGGCAAAAUGGGAAGUCAUUCAAAAGGCAUUUUUUAACAGGCAGUGUGUGAAUUUCUCUGGAAAGAUUUCUGUUCCUUUUCAGACUGCCAAAUUAAUUGAAAUGUCAAAAUCAGCUUAAAACGGCAGAAAAGACCCCUUUAUUCUAAUGGUGCUGAAGCAGGAAAAUUCAAACAAGACAUUGGAGACCACACAGUGAGAAAGCCCACAAACAUCAGUUCCUAAUCUCACUCCUCUAGUUAUCUCUCUCUU